GGAAACUUUGCUGUUUUCACCGUUAGUGAGGAGCGGUCAAGGAUGCGUAUUAAGAAAAUAACUAGAAGUGGCCGCAUGAUGUACCUCUCACCAAUGAGAUGCCUGUCAAGGGUAUACGUGGGUCUUUUGAUUUCAGGGUCAUAUAGCUGUGAGAAUUGCGGUCAUGUACGUGAAGCUUUAUACCUAAGUGUCAGCACAUCAUUAGACAGAAAAGAAAGUUAUAUCACAAGGAAAAGAUUAAGCCCUGGUCACAUCCUGCAUCUUCUUCAGUAAACACUCUGGUUGGAUGACUUGAUGAAAGCCAACAAUCUUUUGAUUUCUCUCUUCACCUAUAUCAGCAGACCCAAAUACAGUUAAUAAAUGGUUAAAGGUUGAUAACCAUCACACCCAUUCCAACAACAUCCAUCCAAAUGGAAGAUGCCUUGAUUGCAACAGUAUCUGGGGAAUAAUGCUACGGGUGACUGAUAAACCCUGUUUUUGAUGAUGUUGAUGUGGAAUCUUUAUUUUAUUUUAUUAGCAUAUAUAAAAACCCAGUUGACAAAAUUUAUGAAAACUUCACACCUCCCUGGCCUAAGAUUUUUCCCUUGGUCUUAUUAAAUUUGAAAGCCACCUGCUUUAGGCUUCAUAAACUUUCACCUUUUAAAAUAACCACAGGCCAUUCUAUGUCCUUAGCUUUCUCUGCUACUGACCCUCAGUUA
rnacentral:lncRNA from 1 species